UUUGGAAGGGAGAUCAGCUCCAAGCCGCCCCGCCACGCAAGACACGCUCGGCGGAAAACUAGGAGAUGUUUUCCACACUCCAGAUCUGCUAGAGAAGUUGGAUACAAAGCCCCGUGGGUCGCUGGUGUUUGGCCAAAGGCUGUGGCAUGUGUCUGUGGAGCCACGUUGUAAUACUUCUUCAGGGCAUGGGUAGCUUCUGCGUCAACACCUUGGUGUAGGAGCCGUCCUGUUCCUAUCCUGUUCCUCCUGCUCUCUGCCUCCGCUCCCUCCUGGCUGCGCAGCCCAGCAGGGCUUAACGCCAUUUUGUCAUCUCUGUCUAUUGGCGUGUUCAUCUGGCAAUAUAUUCCCUAUUUUAUCAGCAAUAAAGUAAAAGAAACUUUCAGAAUUGUCAAGCUCCUAAAACCGUGGCUGAAGUUA